UUACGGCAAUAUCAUGUAGAAGCACUCGUUCACGUGCGAUCACCGAGGUUAAGCAACGCCGAGCCUUGUCGGUAACUAGAUGGGUGACCGCUUAUGAAUACCAGGCGCU